rnacentral:rRNA from 1 species
GACGAACGCUGGCGGCGUGCCUAAUACAUGCAAGUUGAGCGCUGAAGGUUGGUACUUGUACCGACUGGAUGAGCAGCGAACGGGUGAGUAACGCGUGGGGAAUCUGCCUUUGAGCGGGGGACAACAUUUGGAAACGAAUGCUAAUACCGCAUAAAAACUUUAAACACAAGUUUUAAGUUUGAAAGAUGCAAUUGCAUCACUCAAAGAUGAUCCCGCGUUGUAUUAGCUAGUUGGUGAGGUAAAGGCUCACCAAGGCGAUGAUACAUAGCCGACCUGAGAGGGUGGUCGGCCACAUUGGGACUGGGACCCGGCCCCAGCUCCUACGGGAGGCAGCAGUAGGGAAUCUUCGGCAAUGGACGAAAGUCUGACCGAGCAACGCCGCGUGAGUGCAGAAGGUUUUCGGAUCGUAAAACUCUGUUGGUAGAGAAGAACGUUGGUGAGAGUGGAAAGCUCAUCAAGUGACGGUAACUACCCAGAAAGGGACGGCUAACUACGUG